rnacentral:rRNA from 1 species
UUAGGUGAACCUGCGGAAGGAUCAUUAUCAUUCGUGAUAGCAACCUCUGUGGCUCGAGGCAGGCUGCUCGUUCAGUCCUGUCAGGGCGCACAAGGCGGGUGCAGCGGCGGCCGUUUACGCGGUAAGGUUCUCACGAACCUGCACGCUCUGCAUGUCUGAAUCCUUAUCUCUAUACGUACCUCUUGUUCUCCUUCGGUGGGGUAACCUGCCGUCGGAAUCGACACAACAACCUUUUUGCAUCUAGCAUUACCUGUUCUGAUACAAACAAUCGUUUACAACUUUCAACAAUGGAUCUCUUGGCUCUGGCAUCGAUGAAGAACGCAGCGAAAUGCGAUAAGUAGUGUGAAUUGCAGAAUUCAGUGAAUCAUCGAAUCUUUGAACGCACAUUGCGCCCCUUGGUAUUCCAUGGGGCAUGCCUGUUCGAGCGUCAUCUACACCCUCAAGCUUUGCUUGGUGUUGGGCGUCUGUCCUCGCCUCCGCGCGUGGACUCGCCCCAAAUUCAUUGGCAGCGGUGUCUUUUUGCCCCAGUCUCGCGCAGCACAUUGCGCUUGCAGAACUGGUGGCGGCCCGCGAUCCAACAAGCUCCUUUCACCGUCUUUGACCUCGGAUCAGGUAGGGAUACCCGCUGAACUUAAGCAUAUCAAUAAGCGGAGGA